GGGCGAGUAGCUCAGCUGGUAGAGCAACUCCCUCUUAAGGAGAUGGUCCCGGGUUCGAGCCCCGGCUCGCCCACCA
rnacentral:tRNA from 1 species